rnacentral:rRNA from 1 species
GAUGAACGCUGGUGGCGUGCCUAAUACAUGCAAGUCGAGCGAACAGACGAGGAGCUUGCUCCUCUGACGUUAGCGGCGGACGGGUGAGUAACACGUGGAUAACCUACCUAUAAGACUGGGAUAACUUCGGGAAACCGGAGCUAAUACCGGAUAAUCUAUUGAACCGCAUUGUUCAAUAGUGAAAGACGGUUUUGCUGUCACUUAUAGAUGGAUCCGCGCCGCAUUAGCUAGUUGGUAAGGUAACGGUUUACCAAGGCAACGAUGCGUAGCCGACCUGAGAGGGUGAUCGGCCACACUGGAACUGAGACACGGUCCAGACUCCUACGGGAGGCAGGAGUAGGGAAUCUUCCGCAAUGGGCGAAAGCCUGACGGAGCAACGCCGCGUGAGUGAUGAAGGUCUUCGGAUCGUAAAACUCUGUUAUUAGGGAAGAACAAAUGUGUAAGUAACUAUGCACGUCUUGACGGUACCUAAUCAGAAAGCCACGGCUAACUACGUG